CAGUCGCCGCGGUAAUACGUAGGUGGCAAGCGUUGUCCGGAAUUAUUGGGCGUAAAGCGCGCGCAGGCGGAUCAGUCAGUCUGUCUUAGAAGUUCGGGGCUUAACCCCGUGAUGGGAUGGAAACUGCUGAUCUAGAGUAUCGGAGAGGAAGGUGGAAUUCCUAGUGUAGCGGUGAAAUGCGUAGAUAUUAGGAAGAACACCAGUGGCGAAGGCGACUUUCUGGACGAAAACUGACGCUGAGGCGCGAAAGCCAGGGGAGCGAACGGGAUUAGAUACCCCAGUAGUCCCUGUCUCUUAUACA
rnacentral:rRNA from 1 species